AGCGAACGCUGGCGGCAGGCCUAACACAUGCAAGUCGAACGAACCUUUCGGGGUUAGUGGCGGACGGGUGAGUAACACGUGGGAACGUGCCUUUAGGUUCGGAAUAACUCAGGGAAACUUGUGCUAAUACCGAAUGUGCCCUUCGGGGGAAAGAUUUAUCGCCUUUAGAGCGGCCCGCGUCGGAUUAGCUAGUUGGUUGAGGUAAUGGCUCACCAAGGCGACGAACAGUAGCUGGUCUGGGAGGAUGAUCAGCAACAUUGGGACUGAGACACGGCCCAAAUACUGCGGGAGGGAGGCAGGGGGGAUCCUGCCGAAAUGGGCGAAAGCCGAAGGCAGCCAGGCGGGGGAAAGGUUGAGGUGUUAAGGAUUUGAAAAUUCUUCACCCGGGACGAUAAUGACGGUACCCGGAGAAGAAGCCCCGGCUAACUUCGUG
rnacentral:rRNA from 1 species